UCUCCCUCCUCUGGUUUGCAUCCUCACUUGCGGUGUGUGUGCUUGUGUGCGUAUGUGUGUAAGGGAAGGCGAGAGUAAUAUGUGCUCGGCUGGGUGGGGUGGGAUUUUGGUGGUCAAAAGAGGGCUCUCUGUUUCAUAUGGAUGUGGCCCCAUUGAUGUGUAUAGACUGUAUACGUGAAUGUAUUGAUGAAAGUGUUUUUGUUUUUCCUUCCUUCCCCCUCCCCUUGUGUUUACACCCUCAGGGGGGUCUCGGCAGUUCCCAAACACCACCGUGGUGCAGGGAUGCAACUUUGUUAUAAGCAUCUUUUACGAAGCAGCACACAGUUCUUUCCUUCCAAGACGUAAGUUUGCAUACGAUCUCAUUUGCGUUAUUUUUAUACGGUCCGUCAUUGGUCCAAUUCUUUAAAGUCACAAAAUUACAAUAAAAAAAUAUGACCAAAAAAAAAA